CGAACGGGCUCAUCGUCUUUGAGUCGUUUCGUCGAGCUUAUUCGAGUGCUUGUAUCAAGUAUGAAAUUUCAAACUGAAGAUUUCUACUGAAAACCACUCUUUUAUAUGCAUUAUCAGUGUUCUAAAUCUUCACGGCCACAAUUAGAACAUGACGAAUUUAUUCCCCUGAAAUAUUGCAUAUUUUAAUUGAAAU
ensembl:antisense_RNA anr-4 ncRNA